AAAAAAACAUAAAUGGGUGGCGCUACAAUACCUAAAAAUAUUUGAUUAAAAAAAUCAAAUCAUUGACAGCGCACUUCACUCCGUCAAUAACGCCUACGCCUUUAGCUACACUAGCGCUACUCUGGAAAGAUUUGGAACUAUUAUUUACAGCUGAC